ACUUUAAUGUUUAUUAUGCUAUUUUUCCAUUCAAUGUUUGUUAUUAUACGUUGAGAUACACGUUUCAAAUGUCGGUAAUUAUAUCAAUUUGAAAAGUAUAUACUAUUACAUGGCUUUUAAACUGUACAAUACAUUAAACGGAGCAAACACUAGCGUGCACACAUUUCAUAUAAGCUAAAAUGAUAUUUUAUUUUGUGGGAUUUUAAUUUUACAAAAGUAAGCAAUUGUUUAAUAAAUGGUAUGAAAUAACUGGUAAAUAAGGAUAUAGAAUAAUGAAUCCACUGGCAGCAACACAACGAGAUUUCAUUCGUCAUCAUAAUGAGAGGAACGAAAAUAUUGAAAUUGAAGAGCUGGGCAAUGUUGUU